GAGAAAGUUGCUUGAAAACGGUUUCGAUAGGUGUGUCCGAAUUGGAUUGAGGGAUAGGAAGCAAAGAGGAGGGAGAUAGUGGGCCCCUUACGUAAAGAGAAGACUGAGAACGAACCUUUAUUAAAAUCAAUUUUAACAAAGAUGUGACCAAAGUCAACAUCCGAACCAAAAAUGUUACAUCACGAGAUUAUUGUAGAUUUAGCUUUAGAUUCAGUAGAAUUCAGAUAACAGAAUCAAAAAUAAGGUAAAUACAAAAGACGUCAAAAUACCCGAUGAAAAUAUUAAUAUUUAUCAAACACCACCUGGAGAUAACGUAACGGUAAGUCUACAUCAAACAAAUGCAAACUAGUCAGCACGAUUACUGUCAAUCGAACACCGGCAUGGUCUACAUCCGGUGCAAAGAAUCUCAUGUCAGUACGGAUGAUCAGUGAAAGAGAAAAAAUUUAAAAAACAAAUAUACAAUAAGACUCACCGUGAUAUGUAAAAGAAAAACUAGCCUUCAGAUCCAAUCGCAAAGAACCGGCUGUGUAAGAAUCCACGCAGAUGGGAAACAACGUCUGGUUUUUCUAAUUCUAACCUGACAACGAGUCUCACACGAUCCUGCGACGCUUUGGAACAACAGGUACGUCGUUUACGACUAUUAUUAUAUCAUAUAUGCUAUAUAUACAUAUACAUACACAUAUAUAUUUGUAUAUAUAUCUCUACCAUAAAAGUGAACGCAGGAUCAUUAAAUGUACUCGGUGUCCUACGAACGACUGGCCAAGCCUCCACGCUAUCCCCACUGUUAAAACUCUCAAGGGGUUCUCACACGAUCCCCACCAAGAAACUAAUUCCGUACACAUUUAUGACUGCGUAAAGAAUCAUUCACGCAUAUUAUAACAAUCGGAAUAUACAGAUACGUCGAUUAGCAGAGCCUGGAGACAUAUAUCUAUUCUGCAACUACUACACGGCACAGAAUUUCUAUACGGAAUUUAUGGUAGAAGAUCGUCGCCAAGUUCAUCGUCACCAAAAUCGUCGUCCCUCUUGCCAGCUGAGGUCAUGGGUCGCGUCGGCAUCGGACCCACAGGAUCGGAGUAGCUGGUGUCUGAAAGAAUAAUUAUUUUUUCAAAUCCUUAAGAAAAUCAAUAAUCCAGUCGGUAACAAUACGAAUAUUAUAUGUAAUAAAAUAGUACUAAGCUUCUCUCCAUUUUUAUCAGACUCGCAAUCAGCGGAGCGUUAAGAAGAUAUAUGGGAGUACUGGAAUAGAAUGUGCGAAUGAGUUAGGCACAUCUAUCAUCCAUUCAAUCCAUUAGAGCAACGCGUACUGUAUGUCUAGAUCACCUUGUUUAAUAUCAAUUCCGAUUGAAGCUACGCAAGACAAUCAUUCAAAUAAUUUAAUCGAUAUUGACAUCUCCACGUGCUACUGGACGAAGAGAAUUUUCCGCCAUUUCAAAAAUUCUUAUGACAUGCCAAAAUAUCAUUGAAUACUGACUGUGACAGUUAUAAUAGACAAGUAUUUUAAUUAAUGCGCAUAUUUUGAGUGGCUCCUUUUUUUCUUCUCUCUAACGAAUCAAUAGUGGAUUUAGAUGCUGGACUGAUUGAUUGAUCAAUAUAUGUAACUGGAGAU